UCAAUCCUAUGACAUCUAAGGAUAGUUGGCCACGUGUUGAUUUAGGCUACAAAAUCAAGAAACCUAAAUUGAGAAGGAAACCGGGCAGACCAAGAAUAUCUAGAAUGAAGUCAUAUGAUGAGACUGGCACUAGCAAAAAGAGGAAGCCAUGUUCUGAAUGUAAUGAACUAGGCCACAUAGCCAAGCAUUGCCAAGGAGGUCUCACUGCUAGUCAAAAGAGGAAGCUUUCAGCUUCACAAACCUCAGGUGCAAGUGCAACAGAAAAAGGGAGAGGGAGGGGAAGAGGAAGGAGAAAUCCAAGUGAAACUCAAGUUCAAACAGAAAUUGCUGGAGGAGGGAGGGGAAGAGGAAAAGGAAGAGCAAGAGGAAGAGGAAGAGGAAAUCCAAGUGAAAAUGAAUCUGGAACCGAAAAUGCUAGAGGAGGAAGGGGAAAAGGAAGAAGGGGAGGAAGAAGGGGAGGAUCAGGAGGGCGAUUGGCUCAAUUGUUAGGAAUAGAUGCAUGAAUGUGAUGCAGCCACCUCUCAUCAUGUAAUAUAACAGUCGCUUUUGUUGGACACCUAUGUUGGGAUGUGAUCUCAUGGUGCUUCUCUUUUGGAUAUGUAUGAUGGGGGGUUCUGAUUUGGUGCUACAUCUCUUUUGGAUAUGUAUAUAUGAUGGGAUGUUAUCUAUCUAUUAUCAACAUAUAUGCAUGUGGUUUCAACUUAAUUUUGUAUGUCA